rnacentral:rRNA from 1 species
CACGUAGGGCGCAAGCGUUGUCCGGAAUUAUUGGGCGUAAAGAGCUCGUAGGCGGUCUGUUACGUCCGCUGUGAAAACCCGGGGCUUAACCCCUGGCUUGCAGUGGAUACGGACAGACUAGAGGUAGGUAGGGGAGAAUGGAAUUCCCGGUGCAGCGGUGAAAUGCGCAGAUAUCGGGAGGAACACCGGUGGCGAAGGCGGUUCUCUGGGCCUUACCUGACGCUGAGGAGCGAAAGCGUGGGGAGCGAACAGG